AUGUCGGAACCAAUCAUGGUCGUAAGUCGAGCACUGGCUAUACUACAAAAUCUGCUGGCUCUUUGUCAGAUUGGGCAGAGGAUCAUAAACAUUGCUUCCCAUAGAUAUUUUAAAAAUAAAUUUCCAGAGAAACAAAAGCUGUUCCAGGGGAUGAUGGAAUCCCAGUUUAUCUAAAGAGUGGGGUAGCUGAUGUCCUCCUGUAUAGAGCCACCAUGAUUCUUUCAGUUGAUAGAACAGCAUAUGCCAUAUAUCAGCUGGCUACAGCUUCAUUUCCCAAGAAGCGGCAUUGACUUCAAUCAUUCCAGCAAUCACUUGGUUCAGUUUCAUUCAGCUCUCUAAGGACCAAUAAUCUGAUAAAUAACUGAGCUCUUCUUUGAGGAUUAAUAUUUAUUGACUUGUACUAAGUGUCACCAAUAAAGCAGUCUUUACCAUGAAAAAAAAAA